UCAAUCGCCAAUUCCUCUUUAGAUAGAGUAUAUGGAUGACACCCUUUGUCAUGGGUUAUUUAGAAGAUGGUGGAGCACUUGGGCUAAGUAGAUUUGAAGAUGUUGGUAAGCCAAGAGCUGAAUUUGCUGCAAAGCGUGUC